rnacentral:rRNA from 2 species
ACGGGGGAAAAAUUUAUUGCUAUUAGAUGAGCCUAUGUUAGAUUAGCUAGUUGGUGGAGUAAUAGCCUACCAAGGCAAUGAUCUAUAGCUGAUCUGAGAGGAUGAUCAGCCACACUGGAACUGAGAUACGGUCCAGACUCCUACGGGAGGCAGCAGUGGGGAAUAUUGGACAAUGGGCGAAAGCCUGAUCCAGCCAUGCCGCAUGAGUGAAGAAGGCCUUUGGGUUGUAAAGCUCUUUUAGUGAGGAAGAUAAUGACGGUACUCACAGAAGAAGUCCUGGCUAACUCCGUGCCAGCAGCCGCGGUAAUACGGAGAGGGCUAGCGUUAUUCGGAAUUAUUGGGCGUAAAGGGCGCGUAGGCUGAUUAAUAAGUUAAAAGUGAAAUCUCGAGGCUUAACCUUGGAAUUGCUUUUAAAACUAUUAAUCUAGAGAUUGAAAGAGGAUAGAGGAAUUCCUGAUGUAGAGGUAAAAUUCGUAAAUAUUAGGAGGAACACCAGUGGCGAAGGCGUCUAUCUGGUUCAAAUCUGACGCUGAAGCGCGAAGGCGUGGGGAGCAAACAGGAUUAGAUACCCUGGUAGUCCACGCUGUAAACGAUGAAUGUUAAAUAUGGGAAGUUUACUUUCUGUAUUACAGCUAACGCGUUAAACAUUCCGCCUGGGGACUACGGUCGCAAGAUUAAAACUCAAAGGAAUUGACGGGGACCCGCACAAGCGGUGGAGCAUGUGGUUUAAUUCGAUGCAACGCGAAAAACCUUACCACUUCUUGACAUGAAAU